GUAAUCAUCAAAAUCGAGUCGGUGCGGAUAGUUGCUCGUGGACUUCUUUGUUCACGUUCCCUUAACGCCCGUCUCCUGUCAGGAAACAGACGAGUACAGACGGUCUGCUGCUUCUACCCAAGGCCAAAGGACAAUAAUUGAGUUCCAGAAAAGUUGUCUUUUGAGGAGAUACCAGAGGAGCAGGUGAAGAUCUUCCACACCCUUCUGAAAAAGCCAGCAACACCUAGCUUCAUUUUUUUCUUGUUCUGCACAUCUCUCGUCUGAGAAGAAAACCCAACAUCUUUGUUUAUCCAUGUAGCGCCUUUGGGCGCUUUGGGUUAGAAUACAGGGACAGGGUCAAAGGCCAUUCCAUCUUACUGACCUCUGAGUUGACCUCAUCAGGCUAUAAAAAAACAAGCAGUCUAGACUAAGAAUGACCCAUAUAGACAAAGGCAAUG